UGCGCCGGCGCGGAGUAAGUUUGGGCCGAGAGGUGUGGUUCCCCCGCCGCGGGCCCCGGGAGAGCGCGCCGUGGCCCCGUUGUGACCGGCGCAGAGACACGGGCGUGACAGUGAGCACUCUGCGUUUUUAUUUCACUACCGGCGCCUUCCGUCCCCGGGAGAGGCGGGAAAGGGAGGUCCAGGUUCAGGCGCUGAAGCCCAGGGGAGCAGAGGAGGGGUCGUCCUGCUUCACAGGGCCGUCUCGGCUGAACAUGUAGAGGAGCAGGUCUACCACCCGGUUACUGUAGCCAUAUUCGUUGUCGUACCUGGGGCGGGAGGAGGCGGGUCAGGGGAUCUGUCCCGAGCACUCCUGCUCUCUCCGCUCACCCCCCAAUCUCUCGGACUCCUCUACCCCUUACCAGGAAAUGAGCUUCACGAAGUUGUCGUUCAGAGCGAUGCCGGCUUUGGCAUCGAAGAUGGACGAGUGGGUAUUGCUCACAAAGUCCGUGGAGACAACCUGGACGUUCAAAUUUCAAGAUUAAGUGUGGAUCGCCGAGCAAGGACCUCCAGGAGCCCAGGCUCCGACUCUUAGGCACACUGGCCAUCCAUUCAUCUACAAUAUUUGGUGGAGCCCUGCUGUGUCCGGGUUCAGGGGACGUAUGAGGAAGGCACACCGGGGUUUGCCUCCUGGAGGUGGCCAAAGGGCUGAGGCCAAACGCCCUUAUGCUGCACCAGCAUCACGUCUGGUAAUGAUGCAGGCACUCAGACACAGGGACAUCCUCUCUUAGGGGAGGUGGUGAGGCUGGGUAUGGAUGUUGAGGAGGAUCUGGUCAACCUUGGGCCUCCUGUGGUGUUAAGGCCAUAGAGGAAGGUGUUGGGGGGAGGGGGGAGCUGUGAUCUGAUUUGCUUAAAAUGAGAUCCUGGUGGCUAUGUGAGUGGACCUGUAGGAACUAAAGCACAGAGGCAGCACCAAAGGUGGGUGUACAGAGAUGGCAUGACUGGGAGCAAAGGGAUGGUGACACCCUUUCUUCCCAGGGAGGGCACCUGGCCAUGGCCUGUCCCAAGUAAGUGUUGAAAAAUGGGAGCCAUUGUCUUGUUCACUAAGCAGGUACUGAGCACCUGCUGUGUGCCAGGCCCCGGGAAGAUGGCUGGAGCCACGGAGGUGAAAAGAGAGUCCCAAAGUCGGUGCUUUCUUGUGCUAGCAGUGCCAGUUGUGACUAUGAAAUGAAAUUUCAGGUAAGAGAAAGGGCCAGAAAGAGAAUAUCUUAUUGGGACAGAAGUUGAAGUAGAGACUCGGAGGUGGGGGCAGACUAUGUGGCCACCUGGAAGAAAAGCUAUUCAGACCACAGGAACAGCAAGUACAAAGACCCUGAGGCAGGGAGAUCAGACCUUCCCAGCCCUGCAGUCCCUAUCUUGAUUCAUGGUGAGCAGCUCUUUGGCAAGUGGAAAAUCCCAUUUCCUCCUCAGAGGGCUCCUCCCCGGGGUCCGCUUCCUCAGCCCCUACCUCAUCCUCGGUGUAGGCAAGGAUGCCAGCCAAGGGCCCCUUGGCUGCUGCUUUUAUGGCAUCCUUGAUGGCCUGGUACGAGGUAGGCUGGGCCAGGCGGCAGGUCAGGUCCACAACAGAUACGUCUGGGGUUGGCACCCGGAACGCCAUUCCCGUCAGCUUCCUGGAGAAUCCCACAUUAGGGGUGGGAGUCAGAACCCAAGGACUUCUCUGUCUAUCCCUCAUUGUGUCUGCUUUCCCUCUAUAGACACCUCAGGGGGCCAUCAUACCCUUUGAGGGCUGGGAUGACUUUGCCCACGGCCUUGGCAGCCCCUGUGGAGGCUGGGAUGAUGUUCUGGUGGGCGCCCCGUCCAUCUCUCCAGGCCUUCUUCGACGGCCCAUCCACUGUCUUCUGGGUGGCAGUGUAGGAGUGAAUUGUGGUCUUGGAGAGGAAGAAAACUGAGCUGCCACCUUCCUGACUUCAGCCUCAACGCCCCCCGGCCCCCCCACAGGAGGACCAUCCAUGACUGCUCCCAGCCAGGCCAGGCCCAUUCUAACAUGCUGGCCAGAACGUGGGCCCCCGGGAGGGUGUGGCCUGCCCUGCUACUUCUGGUCUGCAGCCCUGCAAUCUCCCCCAGCCCUCCUCGUCCCCCUUGUCCCGCACCAGGAGCCCGGUGCGAGAGCUGGGCAAGUCUCUGAAGACACACUGCAUCCCUGAGAGCGGAUCCCAGGGGAGCACUGAACCCUGAGGUGGCCCUGGGGCCCGCAGUGAUAGGUAGUUUACAUUAGAAAGUAAAGGAGAUUCUGGUUUCAUGUUUCAGAAGCUCACAUUUCCACUCGAUAGCCAAUGUUUGUAUUUGAAACAUCAAACAUCUAGUGUUUGCUGUUUUCUACUUUAGCCAACAGGCGAUAAAUGAAUAAACGGUGUACUGGUUUUUUCCCUUCAUGGGGUUUUAUCACAA